GAUGAACGCUGGCGGCGUGCCUAAUACAUGCAAGUCGAGCGAACAGACGAGGAGCUUGCUCCUCUGACGUUAGCGGCGGACGGGUGAGUAACACGUGGAUAACCUACCUAUAAGACUGGGAUAACUUCGGGAAACCGGAGCUAAUACCGGAUAAUAUAUUGAACCGCAUGGUUCAAUAGUGAAAGACGGUUUUGCUGUCACUUAUAGAUGGAUCCGCGCCGCAUUAGCUAGUUGGUAAGGUAACGGCUUACCAAGGCAACGAUGCGUAGCCGACCUGAGAGGGGGGUCCGCCACACUGGAACCGAGGCACGGUCCAGACUCCUACGGGAGGCAGCCGUAGGGAAUCUUCCGCAAUGGGGCAAAGCCUGACGGAGCAAAGCCGCGUGAGUGAUUAAGGUUCUCCGAUCGUAAAACCCUGUUAUUAGGGAAGAACAAAUGUGUAAGUAACUAUGCACGUCUUGACGGUACCUAAUUAGAAAGCCCCGGCUAACUACGUG
rnacentral:rRNA from 1 species